AACGAACGCUGGCGGCAGGCUUAACACAUGCAAGUCGAGCGCCCCGCAAGGGGAGCGGCAGACGGGUGAGUAACGCGUGGGAAUCUACCCAUCUCUACGGAAUAACGCAUGGAAACGUGUGCUAAUACCGUAUACGUCCUUCGGGAGAAGGAUUUAUCGGAGAUGGAUGAGCCCGCGUUGGAUUAGCUAGUUGGUGGGGUAAAGGCCUACCAAGGCGACGAUCCAUAGCUGGUCUGAGAGGAUGAUCAGCCACACUGGGACUGAGACACGGCCCAGAAUCCUACUGGAGGCAGCAGUGGGGAAUAUUGGACAAUGGGCGCAAGCCUGAUCCAGCCAUGCCGCGUGAGUGAUGAAGGCCCUAGGGUUGUAAAGCUCUUUCACCGGUGAAGAUAAUGACGGUAACCGGAGAAGAAGCCCCGGCUAACUUCGUGCCAGCAGCCGCCGCAGUAA
rnacentral:rRNA from 1 species